rnacentral:lncRNA from 1 species
CAAUUGGCAUAGAAAAUUAGGACAUAUUUCUUUUCAAACUUUGGCCAAAACAGUCAAAGCAUGUGACAUAAAGGUGCAACCUUGCAAAGCAUUUCUUGAGUGCACUGUUUGCAGACAGACUAACUUGAAGAGAUAUCCUUCCACUNGCAUCAGUGAAAGGAAAAGUUCAAGGCCUUUUGAGCUUGUACAUGCAGAUUUGCAAGGUCCAAAUGAAGUCUCCAUAGGGGGAUCUCGUUUUAUGUUAUUGCUUACAGAUGAUUUUUCAAGAUAUUCAUUUGUUUAUUUCUUGAAACACAAGUCAGAAGUUUUUGAAUAUUUUAAACAAUGGGUGAGAAUGAUUGAGAACAAACACAGCACAAAUGUUGCUGCAAUACAAACUGACAGAGGAGGUGAAUUUACGAGUCAAAAAUUCAAACGCUGGCUUCUUAAGAGAGGAAUUCAGCACAGGAUGACUAAUCCUUAUAGCCCAUUUGAAAAUGGUGUUGCUGAGAGGAGAAUCGGUUUAGUUAAAGCUAUGAGAGAAGCUAUGAUGCUUGAUGCUAACUUAUCUCCAAAGUAUUGGGCAGAAUGUUCAAAAACAGCUAUCUUUAACUUGAAUCGGUNAUGGAGCACUUCCAUUUCUGACAUUCCUUACAGAAAGCUGUACAACAGAAAUCCCAAUUUUGAGUAUGCUCACACAUUUGGGCAACAAGCCUANGUUCUCUUACCUGAAGCUCAGAGAACAAAGCAAAGUAAAGCAUCUUUUUGUCGUUUUUUGGGGUACUCAGCUCGAACAAAGAGUUUCCAUUUCAUAGACAAAAAUGGCAAAAUAAUCAUUUCCAGAAGUGCCAAUUUCCUAGAGCAUGAGAACUGGGACAGAUUACAUUCAAACAAGGAAGUUUUUCUACAGCCAAUGCAGCAAGAAAAGGCAGAAGAGAAUUAUUCUUUUCAGAGCUCAGUUCCUUCUCCCUCAGUGUCUCAGCUUAAACUGAAACAUGAUACCUCACAGAGCAAAGAGGAAGGCGUGACUAGUCAUUCAAGCCAGUCAGGGAAGACUGUCAUUUCUCAACACGCUGUACCUAAGAGUGAGAAGCAAGACUUUCCAGUCAGAGAAGGGGGGCGAAUUUUGCCCACAGCUCAAGCC